GCCUUUGGUCGGAUAGUUUCUCCGGGCCUUUCUGCCUGGGAACCCUAUUCUACUUAACUGUAGGGUAGUGGGACGCAGGCCGUUUACUUUGAAAAAAUUAGAGUGUUCAAAGCAGGCCUACGCUUGAAUACAUUAGCAUGGAAUAAUGGAAUAGGACUUUGGUCUUAUUUGUUGGUUUAUGGGACCGAAGUAAUGAUUAACAGGGACAGUUGGGGCCGUUUAUAUUUCGUUGUCAGAGGUGAAAUUCUUGGAUUUACGAAAGAUAAACUUCUGCGAAAGCAUUCGGCAAGGAUGUUUUCAUUGAUCAAGAACGAAAGUUAGGGGAUCGAAGACGAUCAGAUACCGUCGUAGUCUUAACCAUAAACUAUGCCGACUAGGGAUCAGUGGAUGUCAAUUUGCGACUCCAUUGGCACCUUGUGAGAAAUCAAAGUUUUUGGGUUCCGGGGGGAGUAUGGUCGCAAGGCUGAAACUUAAAGGAAUUGACGGAAGGGCACCACCAGGAGUGGAGCCUGCGGCUUAAUUUGACUCAACACGGGGAAACUUACCAGGUCCAGACAUAGUAAGGAUUGACAGAUUGAAAGCUCUUUCUUGAUUCUAU
rnacentral:rRNA from 1 species